rnacentral:rRNA from 1 species
UACGAAGGUCCCAAGCGUUAUCCGGAUUUAUUGGGUUUAAAGGGUGCGUAGGCGGAUUAUUAAGUCAGUGGUGAAAGCCCCAGGCCUAACCUGGGAACUGCCAUUGAUACUGAUGAUCUUGAGUACAUUUGAGGUGGGCGGAAUGUGUCAUGUAGCGGUGAAAUGCUUAGAUAUGACACAGAACACCGAUUGCGAAAGGCAGCUCACUAAACUGU